CUUGGGGGUUAAGCAGCGGGGUAACACCUGAUCCCAUUCCGAACUCAGAAGUGAAGACCGCUCGCGCCGAUGAUACUUGGUCUGUAUACGUCCAGGGAAAGUAGGUCACCCCCAAGA
rnacentral:rRNA from 2 species